rnacentral:rRNA from 1 species
GUCCAUGCCGUAAACGAUGAUUACUAGGUGUUGGAGGAUUGACCCCUUCAGUGCCGCAGUUAACACAAUAAGUAAUCCACCUGGGGAGUACGACCGCAAGGUUGAAACUCAAAGGAAUUGACGGGGGCCCGCACAAGCAGUGGAGUAUGUGGUUUAAUUCGAAGCAACGCGAAGAACCUUACCAGGUCUUGACAUCCGAUGCAUAGUGCAGAGAUGCAUGAAGUCCUUGGGACAUCGAGACAGUGGUGCAGUGUGU